GCGUAUACAAUCUACCUUUUACAGGGGGAUAGCCUUUAGAAAUGAAGAAUAAUACCCCAUAGUAUAUAAAUUUCGCAUGUUAUUUAUAUUAAAGAUUUAUCGGUAAAAGAUGAGUAUGCGUUCUAUUAGCUAGAUGGUGUGGUAACGGCUCACCAUGGCAACGAUAGAUAGGGGCCCUGAGAGGGGGAUCCCCCACACUGGUACUGAGACACGGACCAGACUCCUACGGGAGGCAGCAGUGAGGAAUAUUGGACAAUGGAGGCAACUCUGAUCCAGCCAUGCCGCGUGCAGGAAGACUGC
rnacentral:rRNA from 1 species